UACGGAGGGCGCAAGCGUUGUUCGGAAUCAUUGGGCGUAAAGCGCGUGCAGGCGGCUUGGUAAGUCGGGUGUGAAAUCCCGGGGCUCAACCCCGGAACUGCACCCGAUACUGCCUCGCUCGAGUCCCGGAGAGGAUGGCGGAAUUUCCGGUGUAGAGGUGAAAUUCGUAGAUAUCGGGAGGAACACCAGCGGCGAAGGCGGCCAUCUGGACGGUGACUGACGAUCAGACGCGAAAGCGUGGGGAGCAAACAGG
rnacentral:rRNA from 1 species